rnacentral:rRNA from 1 species
UGCAGCAGGCGCGAAACCUUUACACUGCACGUCAGUGCGAUAGGGGGACUCCGAGUGCGGAGGCAUAGUGCCUUCGCUUUUCUGUACCCUAAGGCGGUACAUGAAUAAGAGCUGGGCAAGACCGGUGCCAGCCGCCGCGGUAAUACCGGCAGCUCGAGUGAUGACCGAUUUUAUUGGGCCUAAAGCGUUCGUAGCCGGCCGGGCAAGUUCGUCGGGAAAUCUACCAGCUUAACUGGUAGGCGUCCGGCGAAAACUGCUCGGCUUGGGACAGGGAGACUCGAAGAGUACGUCCGGGGUAGGAGUGAAAUCCUGUAAUCCUGGACGGACUACCGAUGGCGAAAGCACUUCGAGAGAACCGAUCCGACGGUUCGCCCGCCGCGCCCCG